rnacentral:rRNA from 1 species
GAUGAACGCUAGCGGCAGGCCUAACACAUGCAAGUCGAGGGGGAAGUUACUUUCGGGUCACUGAGACCGGCGUACGGGUGCGUAACGCGUAUACAAUCUGCCUUUCACUGGGGGAUAGCCCGAAGAAAUUUGGAUUAAUACCCCAUAGUAUAGUAGUGUGGCAUCACACAACUAUUAAAGCUUAGGUGGUGAAAGAUGAGUAUGCGUUCUAUUAGCUAGUUGGAGAGGUAACGGCUCCCCAAGGCUAUGAUAGAUAGGGGUUCUGAGAGGGAUGUCCCCCACACUGGUACUGAGAUACGGACCAGACUCCUACGGGAGGCAGCAGUGAGGAAUAUUGGACAAUGGUCGGAAGACUGAUCCAGCCAUGCCGCGUGCAGGAUGAAGGUCUUAUGGAUUGUAAACUGCUUUUGUAAGGGAAGAAUAAGGACUACGUGUAGUUUGAUGACGGUACCUUAUGAAUAAGCAUCGGCUAACUCCGUG